rnacentral:rRNA from 1 species
UGGGGAAUAUUCGGCAAUGGGCGCAAGCUUGACCGAGCGAUGCCGCGUGAGUGAUGAAGGCCUUAGGGUUGUAAAACUCUUUUCUCGUUGAAGAAUUCUUGACGGUAAACGAGGAAUAAGCAUCGGCUAACUUCGUGCCAGCAGCCGCGGUAAUACGAAGGAUGCAAGUGUUGUCCGGAAUUAUUGGGCGUAAAGCGUCUGUAGAUGGUUCAGUAAGUUUCUUGUUAAAUGUCAGAGCUCAACUUUGGAUUGGCAUUAAAUACUGCUGGACUCGAGUACAAUAUGGGUAAAGGGAAUUUCCAGUGUAGCGGUGAAAUGCGUAGAUAUUGGAAAGAACACCAACGGCGAAGGCACUUUACUGGGUUGAUACUGACAUUGAGAGACGAGAGCUAGGGUAGCA